ACAGCGAGACGGGCGGUGGGGCGGAGCCGAGGCCCAGGAACGGAGGUGGAGGAGCAGACCCGGGCGACGCGGCCCGCGAGCGAGAGGGUCGUCCGGGUCAGUCCAGCGCAACUCGGGUCACCAGUCCCAGGGCCCUGGUCCCCUUAUUGGAUCUAUGUCUGGGUUUGCUGAAGCACCCGCUGGGCCCAGGACUGCAGAGACGCCCCUACCCAGGCUGUGCCCCGGGUGGAGGGGGACAGGGGGAACGGCUUCAUCGCGGGGUUCGGGGCAGGACAGCUCAGGACCUGCGGAGAUACUGGAUGGUGUAGGAUCCCAGGCCAAAGGUGGCGCACCCUGAGAUCAGCAGCCCAGCUCCCUGCAGCCUUGAGGAGGGCGCUGCCUGCGUCUUUGGGAGCCUCAGCUUCCCCUCCGGUUCCGGGCCUUGGAGUGCUGGUCUGCAGCUGCGGCCUGGCUCUGUGCCCGGCCUGACCCUCGUUCACACUGCACACCCCUGGAGGCAGGACAGAAAGUGUGCACAGCGAAGACCCUGACACCCUACUGGUUGAUGAUCCAAAUCCCGAGGUCCCUCUCAGAGUCCGGUGAGAUCCAGAGCCAGCUAGAGGAAGAAAGUGGCCGCGUCAGCUCCCGAAAGGCCGUCUGGGUGAGGUUGAAAGGAAAAGCCAACAGGAGUUCCCAUCGUGGGGCUUCGGAAACAAUCUGACCAGGAACCAUGAGGUUGCGGUUUCCAUCCCUGGCCUGGCUCAGUGGAUUAAGGAUCCGGUGUCUCUGUGGCUAUGGUGUAGGCCGGCAGCCGUAGCUCCCAUUCGACCAGCAGGCUCUCGGGUCCACCUCCUCUCCCCGUGGUCCUGUGCUGCCUCUUCCUACCCUGCUCCUCAGCAGCUCAGUGCAACUCUCCUGUCCCCCGCAUCCUCCCUGGUCGCACGCAGAGAGCAUCUGUGCAAAGACAACAGACGCGGCCACCCAGACCCUUUAGCUCACAGAGGAUGCCCUGAACGGACUCCCAGGGAGCCUACAGAAGACCACGGACUUGAGAAGGCACUGUGAACUGCUUGGUAGCAUCUGCAAGAUGGGGUUUGGUUUCAGGUCUGUGUCCUGCCCGCCACCCUCAGGCCCCGGUGGGCUCAGGAGGGCCUUGGGCACAGCCCGAGGGGCCUCGACCCUCAUACAGUGCAGAGCAAAGUCAGAGAUGGGUGGAGGCAGCUGCUGCUCCGGGUGGGAGCUGAUGACAUCCCGCCUGUCGUGUAGACAUUUGAGUUAACUGGCCCUGGGGUUGCCAAUAAUCUCAGUCAGGUUGAAGCCUCCACUCGGAGACGUUUGGGGCAGAAACCUGCUGAUUUACCCCUUGUUUUAACUCUUGGGGAACAAGGGGAUUGCUGACCGCUCCCACUGGCAGGGAGCAGGGAGUGGAAAGAGAACAGCCCUCGAGGGAGAGGCCAAGGAGCCCGUCUGCUCUGGCUCUGCACCGUCCAGCACAGUGGCCUCAGCCUGUCCCAACUGCGAUGUGCGAAUGUGCACAAGAAACACCUGAUUUCAAAGACGUUGAAAAAAAUGCCAAAUAUCUUUCUAAUAAUUUUAUAUUGAUUGCCUCUGGAAAUUAUGUUUUAGAUGUGUUAAGGUAAAUAAAAUAUAUUAUUAAAUUU
rnacentral:lncRNA from 1 species